CAAUGUAAUCCAUGGGAGCGAGUGGGAGACCCAUCUAAACCAGGUGAGCGUGGUAUUGCAGGCCUUACAGGGGGCGGACGGGAGGGGAUGUGUAAAACCCAGGUGAAGAAAGUGGAGGCAAUUCGGGACUGGCCACACGCCCUCACGUUUAUGGGGUUGACUAGUUACUACCAGAGAUUUAUCCCCCUCCCUAGCCAGCCCCCUGACAGAUCUGACCAGGAGCUGUCUGCCCACCCAGGUGACGUGGACAGAGGAGACUGGGAAAGCCAUCCAGGGCCUAAAGGGAGCCCUGUGUUCUGGACCUGUGCUGGUGACGCCGGACUACUCCAAACCACUGUUGGUACAGACCGAUGCGUCUGAAACGGAUCAGGUGCAGCCCAUGGAAAUGCGGAUACCCUCUCCAGGAGGGAUGCUCUAGGGAGCUGGGGGGGAUAAAAUGCUCGGGGGUGCAGCCCGCUGGCUCCACCCCCGAGCCUUACAUGGUCUUCCUGCCCCGACGAGGCAAGCCGGUGGAUCUUUAAGCGCUCGGGGAUAAAAGAGGAAGCGGGCUGGACAGAGGGAAACACGUGUUAUGGAGAGUGUGAGAAGCGGGAGAAUUAUCUGCACGAUUGCCAGUUGUGAACUGGUUGCUGGAUCCCCUUGUGUGCAAAUAUCCCUAAUAAAUUCCCCCAUUUGCAUUCUA